GGUGCGUAACGCGUUGGUGACCUGCCCCGAAGUGUGGGAUAACAGUUCGAAAGGACUGCUAAUACCGCAUGUGGUCACGAGGGUUAGAGGCUUUGUGACUAAAGCAGUAAUGCGCUUCGGGAGGGACCUGCGUCCCAUCAGCUAGUUGGUGAGGUAACGGCCCACCAAGGCUACGACGGGUAGGGGACCUGAGAGGGUGGUCCCCCACACUGGCACUGAAACACGGGCCAGACACCUACGGGUGGCAGCAGUAGGGAAUAUUGGGCAAUGGGCGAAAGCCUGACCCAGCAACGCCGCGUGCAUGAUGAAGGUCUUCGGAUCGUAAAAUGCUUUUCUGAGAGAUGAGAAAGGACAGUAUCUCAGGAAUAAGUCUCGGCUAACUACGUGCCAGCAGCCGCGGUAAAACGUAGGAGGCGAGCGUUAUCCGGAUUUACUGGGCGUAAAGCGCGUGCAGGCGGUUCGGUAAGUUGGAUGUGAAAGCUCCUGGCUCAACUAGGAGAGGUCGUUCAAUACUACCGGACUUGAGAGCGGUAGAGGGAGGUGGAAUUCCCGGUGUAGUGGUGAAAUGCGUAGAUAUCGGGAGGAACACCAGUGGCGAAAGCGGCCUCCUGGACCGUUUCUGACGCUCAGACGCGAAAGCUAGGGUAGCAAACGGGAUUAGAGACCCCGGUAGUCCUAGCUGUAAACGAUGUGAACUUGGCGUCGGCGGGUUCAAAGCCGUCGGUGCUGAAGCUAACGCGAUAAGUUCACCGCCUGGGGACUACGGCCGCAAGGUU
rnacentral:rRNA from 1 species